CAGUUUGGUUCGAGUUCUUUUUAGUUUUGUUUCGGGUUAUAAUUCGGGUGUUAUGGCUUCAGUUUUGUUUCCAGAGCGGGUUUCGUUUCAUGGGUUCAAAUUUUGUUUGGAUGUUCGGGUUGGAUACGAGUCAACUCAGUUUCGGCUCAGUCAAGAUCGGUCAAAACAGGUCAACAAAAGUUAACUCGGGUCAACAAGGCGGACCAGUUCAGUUUCAGUCAAAAAUUGGUUUAUUCGGGUUCGGCUCAGUGAAGGAUUUACUUGGUUAGGGUUCUGAUUAAACACGGUUCGACUCGGUCGAUUCAACCGGUCAACUCAGUUGACCAGGUCAGACCUGGUCAACUCAUAAGUCAACUCAGUUGACGCUAAGACCCGGAAUGCUUUAGUUGCACGCUAGCGAGGUCACAUUCGUGGGAUGACACUACGGAAUCACAUUUAGCUAGCUAUGCACAGGAAUAUACAGGUUACAUUGUCAAAACUACGGAACGGUUGGAAUAGAAGAACCCACGGGAUUUCGAGUAAUUAGCGAGCGUUCAUUUUUUAGAAGUCUUAGCUUUUUGCUUCCGCUGUGCAAUGAAGAUACCGGUCCAGUCACGCCAGCUCUGAUAUUUCGGGGUGUGACAGAUUGGUA